rnacentral:tRNA from 1 species
AUGAAAAAGCAGGCGCAUAACAGGGCUGCUAACUCUGUUUUAAGGGGUUCAAUCUCUUUUUUUUUAUU